rnacentral:rRNA from 1 species
AUGAAGGCCUUCGGGGCGUAAAGCUCUGUCAAUUGGGAAGAAUGAACCGUGGUUAAUACCCAAGAUACUUGACGGUACCCAUAAAGGAAGCACCGGCUAACUCCGUGCCAGGACCCGCGGUAAUA